rnacentral:rRNA from 1 species
UACGAAGGGAGCUAGCGUUGUUCGGAAUCACUGGGCGUAAAGCGCACGUAGGCGGCUUGCUAAGUCAGGGGUGAAAUCCUGGAGCUCAACUCCAGAACUGCCUUUGAUACUGGCGAGCUUCGAGUCCGGGAGAGGUGAGUGGAACUGCGAGUGUAGAGGUGAAAUUCGUAGAUAUUCGCAAGAACACCAGUGGCGAAGGCGGCUCACUGGACCGGCAUUGACGCUGAGGUGCGAAAGCGUGGAGGAG